AUUGAACGCUGGCGGCAGGCCUAACACAUGCAAGUCGAACGAGUGGCGGACGGGUGAGUAAUGUCUGGGAAACUGCCUGAUGGAGGGGGAUAACUACUGGAAACGGUAGAUAAUACCGCAUACCGUCUGAUGUGCCCAGAUGGGAGGAGCUUGGUGGUGUGGUAACGGCUCACCAGGGCGGCGAUCCCUAGCUGGUCUGAGAGGAUGACCAGCCAAACUGGAACUGAGACACGGGCCAGACUCCGACGGGAGGCAGCAUUGGGGAAUAUUGCACAAUGGGCGCAAGCCUGAUGCAGCCAUGCCGCGUGUAUGAAGAAGGCCUUCGGGUUGUAAAGUACUUUCAGCUGGGAGGCGUUACCCGCAGAAGAAGCACCGGCUAACUCCGUGCCAGCAGCCGCGGUAAUAC
rnacentral:rRNA from 1 species